GCAGACACAUUCCAGCCAAUCAGCAGCAGACCCUCCCUCCCAGACCCUCUCCCCCUCCUGGACAGCUCACUAAGAAUGCAGCUUCACAAUGAAUGUAAAAUGGAUGCUGUCCAGGAGGUGGGAGGGUCUGGGAGGGAGGGUCUGCUGCUGAUUGGCUGGAAUGUGUCUG
rnacentral:miRNA from 1 species